rnacentral:rRNA from 1 species
AUAUCGGUUCUCACAUCGAUGAAGAGUGCAACGAAAUGCGAUACGCAGUGCGAAUUAUAGAAUCCUGCGAACCAUCGAGAAUUUGAAUGCAAGUUACGCCCGAGGCCAGCUGGCCAAGGGCACUUCCGCCAGUGCAUCAAGCACCACGUCGCUCCAUGCCAACU